rnacentral:rRNA from 1 species
UGGGGAAUAUUGGACAAUGGGCGCAAGCCUGAUCCAGCAAUGCCGCGUGGGUGAAGAAGGUUUUCGGAUUGUAAAGCCCUUUCGGCGGGGACGAUGAUGACGGUACCCGCAGAAGAAGCCCCGGCUAACUUCGUGCCAGCAGCCGCGGUAAUACGAAGGGGGCUAGCGUUGCUCGGAAUGACUGGGCGUAAAGGGCGCGUAGGCGGCUGUUACAGUCAGGCGUGAAAUUCCUGGGCUCAACCUGGGGGCUGCGUUUGAUACGUGAGGGCUGGAGUUCGGAAGAGGGUCGUGGAAUUCCCAGUGUAGAGGUGAAAUUCGUAGAUAUUGGGAAGAACACCGGUGGCGAAGGCGGCGACCUGGUCCGAUACUGACGCUGAGGCGCGAAAGCGUGGGGAGCAAACAGGAUUAGAUACCCCCGUAGUCC